rnacentral:rRNA from 1 species
GAGUUUGAUCCUGGCUCAGGAUGAACGCUGGCGGCAGGCUUAAUACAUGCAAGUCGAACGGUAACAGUACUAGCAAUAGUAGCUGACGAGUGGCGCACGGGUGCGUAACGCGUAUGCAACCUACCCAUAAUUGGAACAUAACGUUGAGAAAUUAACGCUAAUAUUCCAUGUGAAUAUGAAUUGGCAUCUUUUUAUAUUUAAAGAUUUAUUGAUUAUGGAUGGGCAUGCGUAUCAUUAGCUAGUUGGUGAGGUAACGGCUCACCAAGGCGACGAUGAUUAGGGGUUCUGAGAGGAUUUCCCCCCACACUGGAACUGAGACACGGUCCAGACUCCUACGGGAGGCAGCAGUAGGGAAUAUUGGGCAAUGGAAGCAAUUCUGACCCAGCCAUGCCGCGUGAAGGAAUACAGCCCUAUGGGUUUUAAACUUCUUUUAUUAUAGAAUAACCGGAGGUACGUGUACCUCCCUGCAAGUAUAUGAUGAAUAAGGAUCGGCUAACUCCGUGCCAGCAGCCGCGGUAAUACGGAGGAUCCAAGCGUUAUCCGGAUUUAUUGGGUUUAAAGGGUGCGCAGGCGGACUAAUAAGUCAAGGGUGAAAAAUUUCAGCUUAACUGGAAUCGUGCCUUUGAUACUGUUAGACUAGAGUAUAAUUGACGUGACUGGAAUGUGAUGUGUAGCGGUGAAAUGCUUAGAUAUGUCACAGAACGCCAAUCGUGAAGACAGGUCACGAAAUUAUUACUGACGCUCAUGCACGAAAGCGUGGGGAUCAAACAGGAUUAGAUACCCUGGUAGUCCACGCUGUAAACGAUGAUUACUCGUUGUUGGGCAGUGAUGCUCAGUGGCUAAGCGAAAGCGAUAAGUAAUCCACCUGGGGAGUACGAUCGCAAGGUUGAAACUCAAAGGAAUUGAC